UACAGAGGUCUCAAGCGUUGUUCGGAUUCACUGGGCGUAAAGGGUGCGUAGGUGGCGGGGUAAGUCGGAUGUGAAAUCUCCGAGCUCAACUCGGAAAAUGCAUUGGAAACUACCUUGCUCGAGGGUUGGAGGGGGGACUGGAAUACUUGGUGUAGCAGUGAAAUGCGUAGAUAUCAAGUGGAACGCCAGUGGCGAAAGCGAGUCCCUGGACAACUCCUGACACUGAGGCACGAAAGCUAGGGGAGCAAAC
rnacentral:rRNA from 1 species